rnacentral:rRNA from 1 species
UGGGGAAUAUUGGACAAUGGGGGAAACCCUGAUCCAGCAACGCCGCGUGAGUGAUGAAGGCCUUCGGGUCGUAAAGCUCUGUUGAGAGGGAAGAAUGGGCCGUCUUACUAACGGCUUUGACGUUACCUCUUGAGGAAGCACCGGCUAACUCUGUGCCAGCAGCCGCGGUAAUACAGAGGGUGCAAGUGUUGUUCGGAAUUAUUGGGCGUAAAGCGCGCGUAGGUUGUUUAGUAAGUCGAAUGCGAAAGCCCUGGGCUCAACCCAGGAACUGCAUCCGAAACUGCUAAGCUAGAGUUUGGUAGAGGAGAGUGGAAUUCCCGGUGUAGAGGUGAAAUUCGUAGAGAUCGGGAGGAACACCAGUGGCGAAAGCGGCUCUCUGGGCCAUCACUGACGCUAAGGCGCGAAAGCGUGGGGAGCAAACAG